AGAGUUUGAUCAUGGCUCAGGACGAACGCUGGCGGCGUGCUUAAUACAUGCAAGUCGAGCGAGGUUACUGCGACAGAUCCCUUCGGGGUGAAGUUGCUUUAACCUAGCGGCGGACGGGUGAGUAACGCGUGGGUAACCUACCCUAAAGUUCGGGAUAACAGCGGGAAACCGCUGCUAAUACCGGAUGCCUUUACCGUGUGGCAUCACAAGGUAAAGAAAGGUGACGCUUUAGGAUGGGCCCGCGUCCCAUUAGCUAGUUGGUGAGGUAACAGCUCACCAAGGCGACGAUGGGUAGCCGGCCUGAGAGGGUGGACGGCCACACUGGGACUGAGACACGGCCCAGACUCCUACGGGAGGCAGCAGUAGGGAAUAUUGCGCAAUGGACGGAAGUCUGACGCAGCGACGCCGCGUGAGCGAUGAAGGCCUUCGGGUUGUAAAGCUCUGUCCUUGGGGAAGAAGGUCUUCGGACUUGACGGUACCCAAGAAGAAAGCCCCGGCUAACUACGUGCCAGCAGCCGCGGUAAUACGUAGGGGGCGAGCG
rnacentral:rRNA from 1 species